rnacentral:lncRNA from 1 species
UUGGGGGCUGCUGCAGGCGGCCAGGGCAGAAGGGUGUGGGGAGAGUGAACCCACAGGAGCAGCGGCUCGAGGAGGGGGAUGCAGGCUGCAGGCUCAAAGGGGCACUGGAUCCACCCUGGGUGCCCGAGAGAGCAGGGGGCAGCCCCUGGAGGGGUAUUCACCCCCAGAGCUUCUGUGGUCGGCUGAGGACCCCCAGCGGGGGUUGACUGAGGAGAUCAGAGGCAAGCAGCUGAGGGGAGAGGCCAGGUUCUUGAUGCUGAUAGGGUCGGGGUGCCUGGGCGACCAGAACUCAAGGAGGGAGGCGUGGGGAGGGGCCGCCGUGCAGCUGGGGUGGGUGCACCGCAGAGCCUCUGGGAGUGGUCAGAACCCCCCACACCUGCCACUUCUACAGCAGCUCAUCUGAUUUUAAGGGGCUUGCUGCCCUUGCAGAAGUGGAGGGGUGUAGCCACAGGCAAUGCAAAGGCUCCUGUUCAUGUCAGGGCACCUGGAAGGCCUGACUUGCAGAGGCUCUUGGCUCGUGCAGACCCCUCCAAGCCCAGGCCCUGCCCACCACCUCCCCUUUGUCUCUGGAACUGCCAGGACAGCUUGUCCUCAGCCAGCAGGUUUCCCCACCCGGGCACCUCUUCAUGUUGGGCCCCCCUCCUUUCCCUCCAUCAGGGAUCAUGCCCUUCUUCAGGGGCCUGGAUAUCAAGGACACAAAAGCUCCCAUGUGCUAUGUGGGGAGGCAGAGUGGGGGCUGGGUUGAGCUGGGGUCUGGGCAGCGCCAUUCCGCAGGGCAGGGGCAGCCUAGGCUUCCCAUCUGUGGAAUGGGUGGGUGGGUCUCACAACGGACCUGCUUCCCAUA